rnacentral:rRNA from 1 species
UACAGAGGGUGCAAGCGUUGUUCGGAAUUAUUGGGCGUAAAGCGCGUGUAGGCGGCUUUGCAAGUCGGGUGUGAAAGCCCUCAGCUUAACUGAGGAAGUGCGCCCGAAACUGCAGAGCUUGAGUACCGGAGAGGGUGGCGGAAUUCCCCAAGUAGAGGUGAAAUUCGUAGAUAUGGGGAGGAACACCGGUGGGCGAAGGCGGCCACCUGGGACGG